AUAUCAAUAAGGCGAGGAAUAGAAACCAACCGGGAUUCCCUCAGUAGUGGCGAAUGAAGCGGGAAAAGCUCAAGUUUGGAAUCUGGGGGGCGACCUCCAGAGUUGUAAGCUGAAGAGGCGUUGGCCGAUGUCCCCUGUGCUCAAUUCCCUUGGAACAGGGAGUCAGUGAGGGUGAGAACCCCGUCUGUGGCUCAGGUGACGACAUCCUUGCGCCAUGUCCUCGAAGAGUCGGGUUGUUUGGGAAUGCAGCUCAAAAUGGGUGGUAAAUUUCAUCUAAGGCUAAAUAUUGGCGAGAGACCGAUAGCGCACAAGUA
rnacentral:rRNA from 1 species